AAUGGUCUCCACGGGAGUGGCCAGUCGCAUCUUAUGCCCGCACAGAUUGUCCGCAAGGAGAUUCGUCAAGGAGCUAUAACCGGACUUGAAAAGGUCGCCGAUAAAUCGUUCAGCGAAUCGCAGCUGUUGUCCACCAGGAGAAACCGCUCGUUCCAAUCGAAAAUUUCCUCCUUCAUCGUUCUCUCCGUCGGAGAAUCGUUCUUCUCGCGGAUGUAGCAGUAGAGGAUGUUGUUAGAGGUGUGAGUUUAGUUGCCUAAGAAAAUGCAGCAUGUAUAAAUACACAAAGCUAUAUACAAAAUAUGUUGGAAGGAUUCAAAACUAAAUUGAUAAACAAAUUUGAAAGCUUUUGCUCGAUUAAUCGUUUCGUGACAUAUAAACGUGAUGACAAUACAAUCUAAAGUCAUGCAAUAACACAAAUAAGCGAAACAAAUAUUUAUAAGAAAAUAAGCAACGAAUAGAAAAGAUUUUACUCGAAGCAACAUAUACGAUUAAGCAAAAUUGUUUUGCAGAUACUAUAUCAUAUUGACUAUAUUGUCGAUACCAGACUUCAAUUAAUA